rnacentral:rRNA from 1 species
ACAACGGAGAGUUUGAUCCUGGCUCAGGAUGAACGCUAGCGGCAGGCUUAACACAUGCAAGUCGAACGGCAGCGG